rnacentral:rRNA from 1 species
CACGUAGGGGGCGAGCGUUGUCCGGAAUCAUUGGGCGUAAAGAGCUCGUAGGCGGCUCGGUAAGUCGGGUGUGAAACCCCCAGGCUCAACCUGGGGACGCCACCCGAUACUGCUGUGGCUAGAGUCCAGUAGGGGAGUGUGGAAUUCCCGGUGUAGCGGUGAAAUGCGCAGAUAUCGGGAGGAACACCAGCGGCGAAGGCGGCCCCCUGGACCGGUUCUGACGCUGAGGCGCGAAAGCGUGGGUAGCAAACAGG